GGCGGGCGCGAGCCCAGCUGGGGUGGUAAAUAGAGUACAGACCUUUUCCCUAAGGUGUCUACCGAGGACGAAGCUUUCUACACCUUGGAGCUUUCUGCAUCCCUAAAGUUACAGCCAAACGGGCAAGGUCUGCACAGCAGAGGGAGAGCCACCAUCGUUCCCUACUACCCACCGAAUGUCAUCAAGAUAGCAUUUCUGAAGAAAGUGAAAACGCAAAUAAGUUUGCCACGGACAAGUGACGUUUGUAGAGUGAGUUCGGUUUCUUAAAAUAAGGAAAAGCUUUGUAAAACAAAAACAAAAACAAAUAC